ensembl:lncRNA novel transcript
CGAUCUGAACAUCAGAAGGGACAGACUCCAGAUGCCCCACCUUAAGAGCUGUAAUACUCACUGCAAGGGUCUGCAGCUUCAUUCUUGAAGUCAGACCAAGAACCCAGCAAUUCCCAACACACAGGGACCAGCUUCUUUCCUAACUCACUUAGGCUCUUCGUGCUGCUCUGGCAACUAACACCCUUGGCUGCAGGGGCUUGGACACUACCCUUAGUCACUGACAAUUGUGUGAAGGCUGCUGUCGUUAACUUCACUUGAUCACCUUAGGCUCCUGUGAAGUGGUGAGCAAUUCAAACAAAUUCCUGUCGUCAAAUCAUAAUCCUGAUUUUGUUUGGAAGGACAGCGUGCCUGGUUCCAGGACUUGAAUCAUUCGUUUGUCCAGCAUCUCCAUGCUGUGUACGCUACCCGCCUGUUAGUCAUUGACACUGUCUGCUCCUGACAUCCACCCAUCAAUAUUGUCAUUGCUCAAUGAUCCAGGAUCACCGAGAGCAGAUGAGCCUCCUGAUGCAUGGUCAGAAGGAUAUACAUCUUUCCACACCAAUAGACCUUGUUUUCCGAUGUAGCAUUAUUUUUCAUAGUUGGCGAAUAUACAGUUAUGGAUUCAUAACAGCAAGAUGGAGAAAUUGCACUGCAGAGAAAUCUUUAAAAGCAAUUACCUAAUACUGCAGAUUGCUGAACUGUACCCACACCCAAGACUGAGCAUUGGAUCAAUCCAGAAUAUACAUCAGGUGUUCUGCAAUGUCUGCCUAAAACCAUGACUCUGCCUCCUCCAGCUGUUGCUACAUCUCACUAUGGGUUUCCUGUGACAUUUUGAGCAAGUAUGCCUCUGUGACUGGGGUUCUUACACUCCAGAAUGGAUGAGAAGCACCGUAAGUGGCUUUUAAAAUGAAUAUUCCCUGGCCCUUCAGUCGCUCUAUAGGUCAAGAAUCUGAAUUCUCAACCUGUCUAGAAGGUUCUGGUUUUAAUGGUCUGUGGGCUGCACAUUGAGAAACCUGUUCAGCGAGUGCAACAAAGGUUCCACAUGUGAGAAAGGAAGCAUCAGGUCUCUUGAGCCUGUUCUUUAAUCUGUAGGCUGCACCUUCUCUUUAAAUUCUGCUAAUAACACCAUGCGAGAAAACACCCGAGCUUGAAAAGCCCAUGUUCCAACAUAACUGUCCUUCACCACUCUGGAAAAUUAAUGGUUUGUUUCGAUUAUCCCUUUGUUAAACUCCAAAGUCAAAGAGCUCUGAAAGGCAUACGGUUAUUUUAAGUUUCAGGUGAUUUCUGUUGCCAAAUAUUUUAAAAAUUUAAAAUUGCUACGUGACCUCUUAGUAGUACUAUUAGAUUUCCUGACAAUAAAAAUAAGUCUUUUGGUUUCACCAUUUAUAGUUAGUACAGCUAAUAUUAAGUAUAAUUUUAAAAGCCUUUUAUUUUCUCAGAAAGAAAAAAUAAUCAAAAUCUGCUCAGUGUGGUAUUGAAUAAUUAAAAACAAAAGAACAGUAUCUUCACAUUAG